rnacentral:rRNA from 1 species
UACGUAGGGUGCGAGCGUUAAUCGGAAUUACUGGGCGUAAAGCGUGCGCAGGCGGUUUUGUAAGCCAGAUGUGAAAUCCCCGGGCUUAACCUGGGAAUGGCAUUUGGGACUGCAAGGCUUGAGUGCGGCAGAGGAGACUGGAAUUCCUGGUGUAGCAGUGAAAUGCGUAGAUAUCAGGAGGAACACCGAUGGCGAAGGCAGGUCUCUGGGCUGACACUGGACGC